rnacentral:rRNA from 1 species
GAUGAACGCUGGCGGCGUGCCUAAUACAUGCAAGUAGAACGCUGAAGGAAGGAGCUUGCUCUUUCCGGAUGAGUUGCGAACGGGUGAGUAACGCGUAGGUAACCUGCCUGGUAGCGGGGGAUAACUAUUGGAAACGAUAGCUAAUACCGCAUAACAGUAGAUGUUGCAUGAUAUCUACUUAAAAGGUGCAAUUGCACCACUACCGGAUGGACCUGCGUUGUAUUAGCUAGUUGGUGAGGUAACGGCUCACCAAGGCGACGAUACAUAGCCGACCUGAGAGGGUGAUCGGCCACACUGGGACUGAGACACGGCCCAGACUCCUACGGGAGGCAGCAGUAGGGAAUCUUCGGCAAUGGACGGAAGUCUGACCGAGCAACGCCGCGUGAGUGAAGAAGGUUUUCGGAUCGUAAAGCUCUGUUGUAAGAGAAGAACGAGUGUGAGAGUGGAAAGUUCACACUGUGACGGCAUCUUACCAGAAAGGGACGGCUAACUACGUG